GCUGACGUCAGUCACGUUCUCCUCUCGCCCGCGUCGACGCUUCCGGCCGGUUUGGGCUUUUCUUCCACCAGGCGGCGCUGCAGGACGUUGUGUGGCUGACGCCUCCUGCGCAGGCGCAUUGAAUUCCCGGACACGUCACCACCUUCGCGUCUUUUCUGGAGAGCGCGGGAAGGCGAGAACAGGAGGGCGGUGACGUCACCGGGGUUCCCCGCGUGGCACGCGGGGGGCGGGGGGGUUGGGGACGUGGCGCGCGGCGUGGGGGGUGGCGCCGAGCGCAGGCUCCGCUGGGGCUGACGGGGCCGCGCCUACUGCCGACUCUCCGGCGCUGCCUCGUGACCCGCUGUGGGGCCCGGGCGGGCCAGGGCGGCGGGCCGAGCUGCGGGAAAGACACCGAGAUGAACCCAGCAGGCAAGCUGGCAGGAAGUCAGACUGCGGCCCUUGCCUGAGAGGAUGACACAGGCCAAAGGAGAGAAGGAAAACAACAAGGCAGCCAGAGCUACCACCCCAGGAGUCCAGAGGCCUGGUGCCCCGCAGGUUUCAUUGAAAAAUGGAUGCAGACUGCCCUCCAAGAAUGUCCAAGGCGUAUGGAAGAGCGAAAAGGACAGGAAUUUUAUUUUAUUUUGCUUUUUUUUUUUUUUUUUUUGCUUUCUAGGUCCACACCCAGGGCAUAUGGAAGUUCCCAGGCUAGGGGUUGAAUCAGAGCUACAGCUGCCAGUCACAGCCACAGCCACAGUAACAUGGGAUCUGAGGUGUGUCUGCAACCUGUACCACAGCUCACGGUAACGCCGGAUCCUUAACCCACUGAGCAAGGCCAGGAAUAGAACCCAUAACCUCAUGGAUCCUAGUUCGGCUUGUUAACCGCUGAGCCAUGAAGGGAACUUCUGAAUUUUUGCAUAUAUUUACUUUUGUGAAUUGGUAAUUCAUAUACAUGGCUCAAAACUAAAACAGUAUUAAAAGGUGUAUAGUGAAAAGUCUCUCCUGUUCCUGUGCCCUGUCUGCCCAUUUCUCCCAUUCCAAAUAGAAAACUCUGUUACUAGGUUUUUGUUUAUUUCUCUAAUGAUGUUUGUAUGCAUAUACUAGCUGAAACAAAUGUAUACUCUUCUUUAUUCCAUUUUAACAUUAAAUAGUGCCAUGCAAUACACACCUUCCGCACCUUGUUGGGUCCCCCCAGCACAAUUAACACAAUUUCUUAGAAACAUUUCCUUAUAAGUAUGUAGAGAGCAUUCUCAUUUUUAUUUUUAUGGCUGCAGAGCUUUACAUUGUAUGAAUGUAUACUAUAAUUCAACUGGUUGCCCUAAUGGGCAUUUAGAUUAUUUCCAGUCAUUUGGUAUUACAAAAAGGGAAUGGACCUUACAAAGAGAUGUUCAUUCAAAUCCUAGCCUGACUUUGGGCCUUCAUUGCCUCAUUGGUAAAAUGGGGAUUAUUUUAUGUUUUUAUUGUCUGUCCCAUAACAUUUUUGUGAAUGAUUAGAUAAUUAUAAUGUACAAAGAACUUGAGAUAUAGUAAGUGCUCAAUGUAGACAAUAUACCUUUCGACUGGGCAUGUUAUAAUUUAAUCUUGAAAAAGAAUAUACUUUUAUUGCUCCUAAUGAGAGUAAUCAUAUAAAUAGGGGUCCAUUCGGAGCCGUAGCUGCUGGCCUAUGCCAGAGCCACAGCAACACCAGAUCCGAGCCAUGUCUGUGACCCACAUCACAGCUCAUGGCAAAGCUGGAUCCUCAACCCACUGGACAAGGCGAGGGAUCGAACCUACAAACUCAUGGUUCCUAGUGGGAUUCGUUAAGCACUGAGCCACAACGGGAACUCCUUUUCUCAUUGUUUUAACUGAGAGCUCUUAUUUCUUUUUCUAGUUUUACUGCAGUAGCUAGAAUUUCUAAAAAGACUUUUUUUGUUGUUGUUUUUAGGGCCACACCCAAGGCAUAUGGAGGUUCCCAGACUAGGAGGUCCAAUCGGAACUAUAGCUGCUGGCCUGCACCACAGCCACAGCAAUGCAGGAUCUGAGUUGCCUCUUUGACCUAUACCACAGCUCACCACACCACCAUAUCCUUAACCCACUGAGUGAGGUCAGUGAUCCAACCUGCAUCCUCAUGGAUGCUAGUUGGGUUCGCUAACCACUGAGCUGAGCCACAAUGGGAACUCACUAAAAAGAUAUUUUAAAAUAGUAAGUAUUCUUUCCUUUUUCUAGACUUUAAAGGAAUAAUUCUAGAAUUCUCCAUUAAGUAUAAUCAAGGUAUUGGUUUGCAAACUUUUACAAAAAGAUUCUAUGAUUUUCAAAUCAUAAAAAAGAGGUCUUCUAUCAAUAUUUUUGCUCCUAGAUAUGAAAUUAAUUAGAUCAUUGCUAAAACAAACGAAAACCACCAAAAACUGAACUAAUUCACUCUUUUUUGCUUUGUUUUGUCCUGCUUACUGAAUUGUUAUUUUUAGGGGUUAGAAUCAAGCAACAAGUACCUACUCUGUAAUCUAUAUUUUAGAGGGCUACAUAUAUCACAAACACAUGAAAUAAUUGUUUAAGGAACUCACAGAAAUCUUUGUCACUUAGUAUCUUAUACUCAGCACAAGUCCAGUUGCACUCAUAACCCUAAACAUCUACUCCCUGACUAACUGUAUUCAGACCUUUGAAAACGCUCUUCUCCAUCUCUUUACCUGUGUCCUCACAACAAAACAGGAUGGCAUCCAAAUGCUAUGAAUGUUGUGGGUUUUGUGCUUCUAUGUUGGACAGUUGCUUUGGAGUUCAGAAAGAAUAUGAGGCACAGACCACUUUGUUAAGAGAAAAAACAAAUUAAUUGUUGGGUCCUUCUUCUCAGAUAGCAGGUGUAUUAGUUUCCUAUUGCUGCUGUUACGAAUUACCACGCAUUGAGUGGCUUAAAACAAUACAAUUUUAUUAUCUUACAGUUCUGGGGAUCAGGAGUCCUAAAACUGAGGUGUCAGCAAGUCUCUGUUCCUUCCGGAUGCUCACAGGGAGAAUCUGGCUUUUUGCCUUCUGUAGCUUCUGAAGGCUGGUAUUUCUUUGCUUAUGGCCCCAUCCUUUUUUUUUUUUUUUUUUUUUCCUUAGGGCUGCACCCACAGCAAAUAGAGGUUCCCAGGUUAGGGGUCGAACUGGAGCUGUAGCUUCCAGCCUACAUCACCACAGCUACAGCAACAUGGGAUCCAAGCUGCUUCUGUGACCUAUACCACAGCUUGUGGCAAUGCCGGAUCCUUAACCCACUGAUCAAGCCAGGGAUCGAACCUGCAUCUUCAUGGAUACUAGUCAGAUUCAUUUCCUCUGAGCCACACGGGAACUCCCUGAUCCUCCAUUUUUAAAACCAGUGAUUAUAGCAUUUCCAAGCUCUCUUUCUCUCUCUGACCUCCUGCCUUCUUCUCAUAAGGACCUUUGUGAUUACAUUCAGCCCACACAGAUAAUCUCUCCAUCUCAAGAUUCUUACCUGAAUCACACCUAUAAUGUCUGUCCUGCCAUAAAAGAUAACAUAUUCACAAGUUCUGGGGAUUAGGAUAAGGCCAUCUCUACCAUCAGUAUACUGUAGCAGAGAUACAACAGAUUCUUAAAAAAUAAAGUAUGGGAGUUCCUGUCGUGGCA
rnacentral:lncRNA from 1 species